UGUCUAUACUAAUGGGUGUUGCCCAGAUGAACCUGGGGAUUGUAUUGAGUUAUUUUGAUGCACGAUAUCAUGGAAAUGCUCUUGACAUAAGGUAUCAAUUCAUACCACAGAUGAUUUUCCUCAAUAGCCUUUUUGGUUACUUAGCACUCCUGAUUCUUAUCAAGUGGUGCACGGGCUCUCAAGCUGAUCUUUAUCAUGUGAUGAUAUAUAUGUUCCUUGAUCCUGCUGGAGAUCUUGGAGAAAAUCAACUGUUCUGGGGCCAAAAGGAACUUCAGAUAUUGUUGUUACUUCUGGCUUUGAUCGCUGUUCCAUGGAUGCUCUUCCCAAAACCUUUUAUCUUGAAGAAACUUCAUAAGGAGGUAAUGAUUU